rnacentral:rRNA from 1 species
AUGUCGUCGUCCGCGCUGAGGGCCGCGGGGCAGAGGGCGGGGGCGGCCGCCCGGAAGCAGGCGCUCACCCUGACGGAGGCCGCGGCGGCCAGGGUGCGCCACCUCCUCGACCUCAGGCAGCGGCCCUACCUGCGCCUUGGCGUCAAGGCGCGCGGCUGCAAUGGGCUGUCCUACACGCUGAAUUAUGCCGAAGAAAAAGGGAAGUUUGAUGAGCUUGUUGAAGAGAAGGGUGUGAAAGUACUGAUUGACCCCAAGGCCCUGAUGCAUGUGAUCGGCACCAAGAUGGACUUCGUUGAUGAUCCACUCAGGUCAGAGUUUGUGUUCAUAAACCCGAACUCGAAAGGGGAGUGUGGAUGCGGUGAAUCUUUCAUGACUACGGGCAGCAAAGGAUCUACGUCAUGA